ensembl:snoRNA
AGCUUAAUGAUGAUUGUCUUUAUGAUUGCUUUAAGCAAUAUGAAAAACACAUUUCACUGGCUCUGAAAGCU